UACUGUUUGUUACAACUCCGCUUAUUGUGUGAAUUUGACUCAAUUGGAUGAACCACUGAAGAUACUGAGAGCUGCCCCGAGCAACUAGCACUUCUACAUAGACGAACCCCUGCUAUCCAGAAGGGCCAACCUUGGAUGUAUUGAAUUGGCUGGAGAACAGGGCCUUGCCCCGUUUGUUACAAAUUACUGUGUUGUUAUUCUUGUAAAAGCAUCUGGCAACUGCUCACAAAAGCCGAGUACAUCCCCGCCCAUGAGAUGAAAUGAGAGCUGGAUCCAAUGCUGAAACCUUGCCAUCAGCUUCAAGAAUUAGCCCAAAUGAAACAAGAGCUACGAUAUAAAUAAAAACUAGCUUACGAUGAAUGCAGAUAAUACAGACGAUAUCAACUCUAACAAGGCAGCAAUCAUUUAGAGAAAACAGAGAAAGUGCGAAGCUGAUUCCUCAACGGCGGACAACUGAUUAUAUGCAGAGCUUCAAUUACCGGUUUGAAUCGCUCGCCACUCUUCUACAGCUUGGUGAAUAAUUUGAGCUUUAUUUCAUCUUUCCGCUGCCAUGGGAUGCUCUUGUCACUCUUGCGCUCAGAUUCAAUUUUCCUCUCAUUGUCACAGCCAAUUCAAUCUUGACAUAUCCUGUCAGAAUGGUGGCACUUCUACAAACAGAGCAUUCCAGUUGGUCAAUCGAGUGCCUUGAUCUACACACAAGAGCCUCAAAUGUGUCCGCGACCGUACAACCACUAACCAUAGACCCAAAGUCUAUACGCAGUGUUUUCGCA
rnacentral:sRNA from 1 species